rnacentral:rRNA from 1 species
GACGAACGCUGGCGGCGUGCCUAACACAUGCAAGUUGAGCGACGAACCUACCUUCGGGUAGGGGCAAAGCAGCGAACGGGUGAGUAACACGUGGGUAACCUGCCCCGAUGACCGGGACAACCCGAGGAAACUCGGGCUAAUACCGGAUGUGCUCCACUCUCGUAAGUGAGUGGAACAAAGGAAGCUUCGGCCUCCGCAUCGGGAGGGGCCCGCGGCCCAUUAGCUUGUUGGUGAGGUAACGGCUCACCAAGGCAACGAUGGGUAGCUGGUCUGAGAGGACGAUCAGCCACACUGGGACUGAGACACGGCCCAGACUCCUACGGGAGGCAGCAGUGGGGAAUCUUGCGCAAUGCG